UGUGCUUUUUAAAAUUCGAGUUGUAAUUCUAACUGCUAAUACUGAACUUGAAUGAUUAACUAGAAAAAAAAUCUGAUGUUUUUAGACUAGAUAGGAUUUCCCAUGUUUUCCCACAAUGCAUCGCUUUAUUUUGUCUAGUAGCUCAGGGAGAUGAUAGGGAACGGAUAGAGCCACCCUUUGCUCUCACCCGUACCAAGCGACCCCCUGACAGCAUCUCUGACAUGCCCUGCAAGGCGGAACGCACUUAGCCGAUGUGGCUAAUCUGUCCAACAAUUUAGCUACAGCCUUUUAUAAGAUUUUCGAUAGUCGGUUAUUUUAAACCAUAAGCACUGUCACUAGGUUGCAAAGGCGCUGUGUGUCCAAACAUAAUCAGCCAUGGCAUCAUCAAAUGUUACCCUGGAGAAUCAGCUGCACAGUGCAC